rnacentral:rRNA from 1 species
AUUAAACGCUGGCGGCAUGCCUUACACAUGCAAGUCGAACGGCAGCACGGGGCAACCUGGUGGCGAGUGGCGAACGGGUGAGUAAAGCAUCGGAACGUGCCCUGGAGUGGGGGAUAACGUAGCGAAAGUUACGCUAAUACCGCAUAUUCUGUGAGCAGGAAAGCAGGGGAUCGCAAGACCUUGCGCUCUGGGAGCGGCCGAUGUCGGAUUAGCUAGUUGGUGGGGUAAAGGCCUACCAAGGCGACGAUCCGUAGCGGGUCUGAGAGGAUGAUCCGCCACACUGGGACUGAGACACGGCCCAGACUCCUACGGGAGGCAGCAGUGGGGAAUUUUGGACAAUGGGCGCAAGCCUGAUCCAGCCAUGCCGCGUGAGUGAAGAAGGCCUC